rnacentral:lncRNA from 1 species
GUACAUGAAUGGAACGGAAUAUGAUCUAGUUGAAAAAAGUGAAGAAACUGUUUCAAAGAGACAUAAAAAGUGAUCGUUUAGUCCAGGAUGUAAAGACUGAACUGAAUCCAGAAGUACGUGUUGGA